AGUAAUGUAUCGCUAAUGUACCCUCGGGCCCGGGAUAGCCAGCCGAAAGGCUGGGUAAUACCGGAUGUUAUAACCGGCAGGCAUCCGCUGGUUCUCAAAGCCGCAAGGCACCCUUGGAGCAGGCGAUAUCGUAUCAGGUAGUUGGUGGGGUAACGGCCCACCAAGCCGACGACGCGUAGCCGGACUGAGAGGUUGGCCGGCCACAUUGGGACUGAGACACUGCCCAG
rnacentral:rRNA from 1 species